rnacentral:rRNA from 1 species
UGCAGAGGGGGCAAGCGUUGUUCGGAAUUACUGGGCGUAAAGGGCGCGUAGGCGGCCUACUAAGUCGAACGUGAAAUCCCCGGGCUCAACCCGGGAACUGCGUCCGAUACUGGAAGGCUUGAAUCCGGGAGAGGGAUGUGGAAUUCCAGGUGUAGCGGUGAAAUGCGUAGAUAUCUGGAGGAACACCGGUGGCGAAGGCGACAUCCUGGACCGGUAUUGACGCUGGGGCGCGAAAGCCAGGGGAGCAAACGGG